CGCUAAGCAUAGAGUAUAAGAACCAGUAAUGAACACCGCUCUAUGAAUGAAUAAGACUGGAUAAACUACACAAUACCAAUGCCUGUAUCCCAUUGAACCAAGAAGCAAGGGUUGUAGAGAAAUGGAAAACUCAAUGCUUUGACCCAAAGAGUAAUUGGAGAUUACAAAAUAAUAAGCAGCGAGGAAAAAAAUCAGUACAGGUAGCCCAGUGUUGUAGGAAAGCGUGAUAUUCCAAUUGCUUCAUACCACAAAAUGUUAAUUGUCAAUCGACAAAACAAGAACUUAGGGUAGAUAUCCAGCGAAAUCUAUAUUAGAACAAAAUAAACUAACUCAACUAAGUCUUGCGUCUCCAUCGACUGGAUUUGACAACAUGAAUCUUUAUGCCAUUCUGUUCCG